CAUGCCCAAAUCACACAGGUUGCAGUCACAAGGAUGAUCUGGCCGACCAUGUCAGCAAAGCCAACGCAACAGAGUUGAAGGAAAUAUUAUGACAUGAACAUGGUGUGAUGACCCGUGUGCAACCUCAACAAGUGUGAAGGUGCUGCUAAGUUAGAGGAUUGAUUAGAAACCAAAAAAAAGCAGGCUUGGUUAGCUUCAAGAAGAAAAUAUUUCAAAACCGUGUACCUAUUGAAAUGGCAUGGAAGACAGAGAUGGCAGCAGCCUGCAU